CAAAUAGUAGCUUAAACAAAGCAUUCAGCUUACAAUUGAACAAUGUUAGUAAAAACCUAACCUUUUUGA
rnacentral:tRNA from 1 species